rnacentral:tRNA from 1 species
GGGGCGGGGGCUCAGUGGUAGAGCACUCGCCUGUCAUGUGUGAGGCACUGAGUUCAAUCCUCAGCACCACUU